rnacentral:rRNA from 1 species
UUAAAGGAAGUUCGACGGGGGCCCGCACAGGCGGCGGAGCAUGUGGAUUAAUUCGAUGCAACGCGAAGAACCUUACCUGGGUUUGACAUACACCGGAAAACCGUAGAGAUACGGUCCCCCUUGUGGUCGGUGUACAGGUGGUGCAUGGCUGUCGUCAGCUCGUGUCGUGAGAUGUUGGGUUAAGUCCCGCAACGAGCGCAACCUUGUCUUAUGUUGCCAGCACGUGAUGGUGGGGACUCGUAAGAGACUGCCGGGGUCAACUCGGAGGAAGGUGGGGACGACGGUCAAGUCAUCAUGCCCCUUAUGUCCAGGGCUUCACACAUGCUACAAUGGCCAGUACAGAGGGCUGCGAGACCGUGAGGUGGAGCGAAUCCCUUAAAGCUGGCCUCAGUUCGGAUCGGGGUCUGCAACUCGACCCCGUGAAGUCGGAGUCGCUAGUAAUCGCAGAUCAGCAACGCUGCGGUGAAUACGUUCCCGGCCUU